CUACAGGGUUUGACUCCCUAGAACACUUCUAUCAAACAAAGCCGAAACGGGGAGGACAGAGAGAUAUUUACACGAAGUUUCACCACCUUGCCCAGGAUGGUUUUCAACUCCUGAGCUCAAGCAAUUCGCCAACCUCAGCCUCUCAAAGUGGUGGGAUUACAGGCAGGAGCCACCAAGCCUGGCCUUACGUACAUCUUUUGACUCUCCAAAAACUUAACUACUAAUACCCUUCUGCUGACCAGAAGCCUUAGUAGUAACAUAAACAGUCGAUUAACACAUAUUUUGUAUGUUUCAUGUAUUAUAUACUGUAUUCUUACAAUAAAAUAAGCUAGAG
rnacentral:lncRNA from 1 species